CACAGGUAACGGUUGUUGAUGUGCCUCUGAUUGAUACCUCCGUGCAGCGUGUAACUGGUGUGAUGGUAAACAGCACGACUCCUUAGUCUCCUGAUCUGCACGGUGUAAGCCAGUUUAUUAUCUUAAAUACACAAAGAUGACCUUAAACCCAUCAACAUUAAUAAUACAAUCAGUACAACAUCUGAAAACGUAACUUAUAUGCAUGACCAUACUGGAGUGGAACUUGUCAAUCUACAGAAAAAAG